rnacentral:lncRNA from 1 species
GCGUGGAAACGAAAAUAUUUAUUUCCCUUCCCGUGCUAAAGUCACCACCCUGCAAAAUACUUCUCUUUCUCAAUACUCACCUCUCUCUCAAACUCUCAAACACACCUACAGCUUCCUCUUCUUCAAUUCAAUAAGGUACUUUUUUGUUUCUUCUUCUUUCUCUUACUCCAAUAACUUCAAAGGUCUAUCUCUUUCUCUCUUUGCCCAUAAAUACUUCUUCUAUUUCAUCUAUAGGUAGUAUUUACGAUUUUAAAUUUACAUUAAUUCUAUUUUGACCCAAGAGUGAAAAUGAUCAAGAUAUUUAAACCCAAGCCUCUGUACUUGAUUUUGCUUCGGUCAAGGUGUCUAAAACAGAGACUUUAGCUGCCAUUCUCUUCCUUCUAGAAGAUUUUUGUGCAAUUAGUAGAGAUAAAGAGAAAUCCCAUUUACAGAAUAUAAUAAACUUUAGAACUAUUGAUGAGUUUGUGCAAUCAAAGUUUGCCCCUUUCAGUAUUUCAUUUUCUACCAUAUAUUUUUAUUUAAUUUUUUCUAUGAAUCCACAUAGAUGAUUGGAAUAUCUAUUAUGCAUUUCAUAUAAUCCUUUUUUUUCCCCCAACUAGCAAUAUCUUAUUCUUAUUCCUACAUAACACUUUGAUUAGAAUGUAUAUUUGCAAUAUGUGUCUUAAUUUGCUAUCAAUGACUAUUAAGAAAUAACAUUUCGUAAUUCUUAUUUAUUUUGAGUUAAAAAUGUAUAGAAUUUAGUUGAAUUAUAGACCAUUUUAAUUUGACUAUCUAACUUUCUAAAAAUUUAAUUUUACUACCUAACCUUUCAAUUUGUUUAAUUAUGUCAUUUAAUUGUUCUUCCAAUAUAAAAUUUAAAAGUUGAUUGUUUAUUUUGAUAAAUUUAUAGUUGCAGAAUUGUAAAAAGUAUGUUAAUUAAACCCGUAAAAAUAUAUAUGACGCAUUUAAAAUGGACGGUACCAAGGACCUACUCAAAAUAUUAUGGAGCAGUUAGAUUUGAUUUAUUAUUUUCCUAUAUAUAGACUAGUUGGGAAGGAUCAACUAAUCAUUGCACUGUUCUACGCAAUGUGUUGGAGAGACCAAAUUGACUUACAGUUCCAGAAGGUAGGUUACUAAUAAUUGAAUCAAUUCUAAUCCUAAUAAUCCAUUUACUAAGUAGUGGUUGUUGUGAAAUAUAGGGAAAUAGUUUCUUGUUGACGUAGAAUAUUUCACAAGGUUUCAUUUCUUCUUAUUGUAGCACUCGAUAUCACUUGAAAGAUUUUAGUGAAGAUAAUCCUCCAACAAACUCAAAGGAGCUAUUCAACCUACGACACUCCUCACUAAGAACAACCAUAGAGCAUGCAUUUGGAAUCUUGAAGCAACGAUUUAAAAUUUUAACAUGUUAUCCUCAUUUUCCAUAUCCAACACAUGUUGUUUUAGUUCUUGUGUAUUGUAUUUUGCAUAAUUGCAUAAUAGAUAUAUCACCUAGGGAUCAAAUUGUAAGAACUAUAGAAAGGAGACAUCAAACUCACUCAAAUUCAUAUGCUAGAUCAACAAGAAAACAAAGAGAAGAAAACUGGGAGUGGGUGCCGAUCAAAUAUGGAAAAGAGAUUAUGGUUCUCUUUACUAUGUAUUGUUGAAGUUUUCAACUUUUGUAUAGAUAGCUCUAAUAUGGACCUUAGGUAAAGUAUAUAUACAUAUAGAGUUGGGCUAGAAUACUAUUGAUAGCAAACGAGCUUCGUUGCCACCCAUUUAUUUUCGAUGAUAGAGCCUCCAAAUCGACGAUUGGCACCGUUGAACAUGAUCGAUACCACUUGAAGUGUUUAGAAAUCAAAUUUCAAAUCUUUUCGAAAUCAUUUGCCUAAUGAUCAAAGGGUUUCAAAAUUUAUAAUUUAAUGAUCGAUAUGAAACAUUUUCUCGUUUAACGGCGUAAAGAUAACCAAAUCAAUUGAAUUUUUGUUAGAAAAUUUUUUAAACUAUUUAAAACAGAUCUAUACUCUUGAUCUUGUUACAAGACUUCUAUCAUCAUAUUAUAUAUAUUAUAUAUAUAAGAGAGCAGAGCAGAGAGAGAGAGAGAGAGAGAGAGAGAGAGAGAGAGAGAGAGAGAGGGAGGGGGGGGGUUAGCUUAGAAUUAUAUAUUGUUGCUUUUUUUGAUAUGUAAGUUGAUAAUAUUUAUGAUGAUGGUUUGGAUGAAAUAUAGUUUGUACUUUCAUUUUUUGGUUUUGAUACUUACUGUGUAUUUUAGUAUGUGGUACGCAAUGAUAUUUGCUAUGUAUUGUAUCUUGUUUUGAAAUUUGAUAUGUGCUUUGAUUUUCAUGUUUGAUUAAAAUUCGGUAUGUAUUUUAUUUUAAGAUUUAGUGUAUUUUGUUAUACAAUUUAUAUUGUAAUUUGAUUUAUAUUUUAGUUAAUUAACUAGUCUAAUCAUGUAGCCACAAUAGGAUACUAUGGAGCAACAUAGUAAUAACAAUCAAUGUCCAUUUAGUAUAAUUCUGAAGCUAAUGUAACGUAAGGAACUAAAAAUUUUAAGUGGACAAAUAAGAUGUCCGACUUUCUUAUAAAAUUUUUGGUGCAUCAAGCUAGUAUUUGUAUGAAAGUGGACAAAUCAUUCAAAAGGCUAGCCUUUGUAGCUGCGGCAAGAGCAGUGUCAUCCAAAUUCCCAGUUUUUUGUAAUUAGACUAAAGUUGAAAAUCGGCUGUGCACCUUGAAGAUGAAGUGGUCUAGAAUCACCCAAUUAAAAAGUUUGAGUGGUGCUUCAUGGGAUCCAGUUAGCAAGACUAUUGGUUUGGCUGAAGGAUCUUACCAAGACUUUAUUCAACUAAAGUAUUUGUUUUCAAUUUCAUCUUAAAUUUCAUAUAUCAUUCACAUUUUAUAUUAAGAAGUUAUUUAUUUUAUAUUCUUGUAGGCUCAUCCCAAAGAUAUAUGUUACCUAAAUUGUCUAAUUCAGCACUAUAAUGAGCUAGCAAUCAUAUGCGGAGAUGAUCGAGCAACUGGAGAAUUUGCAUUGGAUGAUUCAAAUAAUAUCAACUUUGAUGAAGAAGAGAACAAUGAUGAUGGUGAUGACUUUGGCUUAGAUUUAUAUUCGGAAGAAUGCGAGCACAUUUCACCAAUAACCCCUUCCUAAGGACGUAAACUACAAAAUCCUAAUCGACCGGUAACCAAGUCUUGCAUAGCUACAACCUCAAAAGCCAAGAAACAAAAACAGUCAAAUUCAGAAUUUUUAUUAUUAGUGAACAAGAUUGGGGUAUUAGCAGAUUCAAUGAAGGAUACCAAGAUUAUACACAAAAAGGAGGAUAUGGAGCUCUAUAAAGUCAUAUUAUAUCCCCGAGCAUGUAGGUUGCUACAUAUCAGUACUUCCUGAGAAAUGAGAUAGCUAGAAAACUUACUUUUAGUUCGUAGCCUGGAAAUGCGAGUUGAAUGGUUAAAAUAGUUUGAAGACCAGUUUCUAAAGUAGUUUAGUCUGGUUGCUAAGUAUGAAAAGCUGUUAGUAUAAUAUUUGUUUUUUGGAACUUGAUGGUUUUGGAUGUAAGUUGGCGCAUUGUAUAGAUGGUACUACUAUACAGUUUGCUAUUUUUUGUACCUACUUACUUUUUUGUUUUGGUUUCACUAAAGUUUGUCCAAUAAUUUGAUGUUAAAUAGUUGAUGUUUUUUUUGUAAACUCUAACUCUAUUUUGUUAAUAUAUUAUAUGUGUUUGCAGUCGAAAAUCCCGAGCCUUGACCUGGUCUAAUAUCCUCCUCGGGAAGUGUGCCAGGGUGGAAAUCGGCUGCUGAUAGUGACCCUCGAAGUUUGCGCCCACGACGGAUCAAGCGAUUCGGCCGAUGAGGGAUCGAAUCAGCCGGGUUCGAAAAACUCUGCAGUAAAUUCGCUUCGGCAGUAUGAGCCGAAUGAACAGGGGAGGCCUAUAUCUCGGCUGAGAGAUGAGCCGAAUGGCUAGGACAAAAUGAGAUCUAGUCGGCCUGAGGAACCGAAAACGACUUUCUAUUAAUAAAAAAAGAGUGAUGCCCGGAGGGCAGACAGACUCCGAGGUGUACAAGGGAGUGAUGCCCGGAGGGCAGACAGACUCCGAGGUGUUUACAAUGAAGUGAUGCCCGGAGGGCAGACAGACUCCAAGGAGGCUAAGUUACAGGAACUACUCCUAGGAAAAGCGAUAAAUGCAGGAAAGAAAGAUGCAGGAAAAUAAAUGUAAGGUACCGGACUUCUAAAAUCAUGAAGUUAUGGUGUACGUUGCUUUGGAAAGCCAUUUGGAUGGUUUCGUGAGGUUCGGUGAAGUUCUGGAGCAAUCGGGCGUUUCGGUGCGCAUACGCGCGAAAACGGAACCCGAAAGGCUAACUUGGGCCGUGAGCUAAAUCCGGCAUUAGCGAGGAUGGAAAGAUGAUGAAAAGAUGCUCGAAAACAUAAUUGGAGAGUCCCGGUUCGAUUUGAAGUGAAUUGGAGGUCAAACGAGCGAAAACGGACGAAAACGGUGAAAAAGCUGAAAUUUGGCUAAGUCCUUGAGGCUGAGUUCUGGACCUUCGGGGACCGGUCUCUCACCGCAAGGACCGGUCUCUCAGGGACCGGUCUCUCACCGCAAGGACCGGUUCCCGAACGCGAAAAACGCCCAGUUUGAGCUGAUGCGAGGUUAAAAGAGUUGGGGGGCUUAUUUGGGAUUGUUACAAUAUGAGAGGGGGUUAAGAGAGCUCUUUCUCUCUCUCUUUCUCUCAUUCCCUCACUCUCCCUCACGUUCCUCUCUCUCUCUCUCUAAACGAAAGAAAAGAAGAAGAGGAGAAGAAGAAGAGAAAGAAGAAGAAGAAGAAUAAGAAGGAGAAGAAGAUCAAGGAGGAGGUUUUCAUCACCUCCAUCUUCUUCCUCACCUUGGAGCAAGCUUUGGAGAGGUAAGCCCUUAGCCCUCUCAUGGUAAAUCCCUAGAUGUAGGGUUUUGAUCUCUAGAAAUGGUUUAGAUGGAAUCCUAGCAAGCUUAAUUGAUGAUUAGCACUUGAAUCCGAAGCUUUAAUAGCGGAUUUUGCCGUAAUUGCAAUUAGGGCUCCAAAAUAGGGUUUUGAUACAUAAGGGGUUUUGAUCUCAAUUGACCCUUCUCUAACCUAAUUGGUAGGUCUACGAACGCAACGGUGCGCUCGGUUCGGCGAUCCGACGAGUGUAAGCGGAGAUAUUGGGGAUCGAAGCCGUUAAGGUACAGAUUGCCGCAGCUCGCGGCGAAAGCCUCCAAAAAUCAUGAGAACGGAUCGGGAGCAUCGUGGUGUCGUGGAAUAAACUCCAGAAUAGACGGAUCGCGGAUUGGUGGCCGUUCGGGUGGUCGCGCAAGAGUUCGAGCCGAACCGGGUCACGGGUGCCGCGGGAGGCCGAUUGCAAGUGUCGACGAGCAAUCGGAACGCGAGUUAAGGUGGGUUGUGUUUACCGAAGCGACUAGGUCGCCCUUUAUGUCUAAGAUGAUUAAGAAUCCACGUUGAUGCAUAUGAAUGUAAAUGAGGUAAAUAAAGCAUGUGGUUGAUUCAUGUAAUUAAUGCAUGUUAAUGAUAUGAUGCAAAUACUAAGUAGGUGCAUAUAAAAUGAUAUAGAAAUCAUAGGAGACAUGAUCAGCAUCAUGAGAUUAUGUAUGCAUGUUGACAUCAUAGAAUGUAUGCCAGAUGAAAUGUGGAUAUCUAUAGUACUUGAUAUGACAAUAGGACAUCAAGUAGAUCGAGUGGCAUUAACCUAGUGUUAGUAAACAUAGGUCGGACAUAGAUGACAUCUAACCUAGUGUUAAAGAACAUAGGUUGAGUAUGAACCUAGAGUCGGGAUCUAGGUGUGUGGCAUCUAACCUAGUGUUAAAGAACAUAGGUUGAGAACUGAACCUAGAGUUAAGGUAAACCUAGGUUGUGAAAUUGAGGCAUUAGACCUAGAGUCAGUUGGACCUAGGGUGGAAAGUGCAUUGGACCUAGAUAGGUCAAUAGUAUAGGGUUGGAUAUGGACCCUUGACUUGUGAAGUCGAUUCCGGAAUCCCAGUACUUGUGAACUCAAUAGUUCUUGGACCGCGGGUGUAUGCGGCGAUGUUCCUCUCCCACCGGAAAGAACUUUGAGGAUUAUGACUAAGCAAGAACAAAGAGCGCUAGGGUGUACGGCAUGUUCCUCUCCCUAUCGGGGAUCUUGGCUAUGGGUGUACGCGGCUAUGUUUCCUCUCCCACUAACGGAUCCCUGACCACGGUGCACGGACCUUCGGGCGGACCGUUGGGCGAUGUGGUUCUUGGCUUGCAGGCUGAGGUGCAUGCGACAGGAUCCUUCACCUCGAGCCGGGCAGAGUGCGGAUUAUCCGCUGUUGAUUGACUCGAGGCCGAGUCGGGUGGCUAGCUGGAAUAAGGUAGAUAGAACCUUGAGGGCUAGUGGUAAAUGUGAUAACCUAAGGUAGUAGAAACCUUAGAGUUGGGUGACAUGAGCUAAGAUUAGCGAGAUUGAUUGUAGAAUCAAUAAUUCUACUAGUUGUUGCAUAUAUUCCUGUUGCAUAUAGCAUGACAUCAUUGCAGUUGUGAGGCAAAGCAAGGUAAAGUUAGUUGCAUGUUUAUGAUAUACAUAUCUAUCUGUUUAUUGGACUAACUUGUAUUUGCCUCCCUUGGACCUGUUGGUCGAGCUCCUCCCUUGGGUGGCCGUACCCACUGGGAACCAUGGAGUUGGUUCUCACCCCACGUUGUUUUGGGGUUUUACAGGUUCGCACGUGAGCGGCGCGGCGGCGCGAGGCAAGGGCGUAGCUCCAUAGAUAGCGCCCUACCCCCAGAGACCAGAGCUAGCAGUACCCCGUCGACGUAGCUUAGGGGUAUAGAAAAUGAAAGCAAGCAAAAUGUAUUAAACUUGUAAUAACUUAGUUGCUUUGGAAGUUGAAUGUAAUAUAAAGUGUGAUGUAACUAAAUGAAUCUAAUGUGAAUGUUGUAAUAACAUAGGAUGUGUUUAUGUUGAUUGAUACCUUCCUGAUGCAAUUCUGUUUGCUGAGUACUGUUCCUGGUUGGAACCCUUGUAUUGUACUUGUUGCGACGCCUAGAACGUACAGGGGAGACUCUGUCCGCGUACAGGGGAAACCCCGGUCCGUUCGGCGGUCUGUCGGCGUGCCCGAACCGGACCAAAUUGGGAGCGGUCUCGGGGCGUGACAAUAAAGGUGGUCUUUUGUGCGCAGGGGCGAAGACUCAUUUUCAGGGUACUACACGCCUAUUCAUAGAUUUGCCCUUGCGUUCAUUUGUUGUUAUUGCACGAUCGGCCAUCUUCUCCGGAUUUGGAGGACCAUGUUCGGCCGAUUGGAACCGCCGUUUGGAACCGCUCAUAACCGCUUGCGGUUGCCACGUUUUUGAACAAACGCAGCUCAUAUCUCCUGGCGCAUUUCUUCCGUACUCUCGGUCCAGCGUUUCGAAUCCUGAAUAUGGAUAUGAACUCGGUGUGCCAACUGUCCGCGCCGGAUUGGUCCAACAAUAUGUUGAUUAUUUUUAUUUGUAAGUUUGUAAUUUUUAUCUUUUUUUUAUUAAUAUAUUGUACUCCAUUGCUUUAUAUCCAUAUACUUUUUAGAUGACUUUUGGUAUAAGAAUUAGACAGAUUACAUAUAUCUUGUCCAUUAUAUGCGUGUCUUUAUGCCCUUUUUAAAUGCUUUAUGGACAAUUUAGCAGUUGAACUUAAAAAAAACCAUAUAAAUGGUUGUGACAAUGUUGGGAUCUUAUAAACAAUUAAGUACAUAAAAUUAUUUUGAUAUGAUUAAUAGAACUCAUGUUACAAUUGUUGUUAUUCACCCAAAUAUAUCAAUUUUUAAUAGGGGGUAAUCUCACCUCCAACAUAUAGGAGAUAUUUUUAUCUCACUUUUUCCAAUCAACCAAACAUAAAAAAUAAAAACAGAAAAACAAAUUUUCUUUUCCUUUUCAUACAUUCCAAACAAUAAUAGCUGAAAAAUAACUUUUACUUUUCUUCUAACCAAACGUCACAAAUCAUAAAAUUAGUUUUCAGAAAAGUCUUUUUUUAAAAAAAUAAUUUUAAUUCAUAAUUUCACGUAGAACCAAACACAUUAAAAUGUAUUUUAAAAUGAACGUGAUUGUAAAUAACUAGAAGAUCAGGNAUCUGACAACCCAACGAUUACCGAAUAUGGUACAAUCUCUGUACUACUAAACUAUGAACUCGAUAACUGAUGCAAACAAACGGUAGACACGAGUAAGCGUAUACGAACACUCCCAGCGAGGGAUGUUCGGCCGUGAGGCCUCAACCUGAUGCACUGAAUACGAGCGAGCAUGCCAUAGCUCUUUGGAUGCUCCAGCCCUCCCUAUCUGAGUAAGCAUCUCACCCUUACGACCUCAUGGUGGCUGUGAAUCCGCCGUGUUCGACCUGGUGUGAAUACAUCCAGGAUCUUGUACUAUCUUUUUACUGUAAUUUGGCCCUAUACUGUCAGUGAUGAUCUAUCCGUAUCAUCAACCUAAUGCAACUGUACGAAUAUCGCAUCGAAACCCUGUACAUCAUAUAAACUAUCAAAGUGAACAACGUAGUAUCAUAUGAACCAACGGUACUAUCUUAUACAAGUAGUAUAUAACUAUCUAACCUAGUAUUACGGAUAACGAAUAAUACAACCCUGUAUAAUCAGUACGUAACCUGAAUGAAGUAGUACUAUUCUACUUACAUGUUUUACAACUGUAGUACAAUGAAUACUGUAUCACUAAAUCGAGUAUAAAGUAUGAAAGUAUGGACAUCAAUAAAACAAUCAUAAUAAUGAAGAGCAUAGAUGGGAAUAAAAAACCCCGGAUCACCACGUAAUGCGAUUCCAGUCAUUAACGGGUGACCUUUGAUAUUUAAUAUCAAGAAUGCGGGAGAAAAAGAAUAACAAUAAUGUCUCGGAAGCUACGGCCCGCUCCGAUCCCUGACGCCUUUCCUAUAGCGGAGCCAGAUCGACGGCUCCCUGCAAUGCUAACCACCAGGUGGAGAGCAACUAAAAUAAAACUUCUCCAAAACCUGUCAAUGGACACAUAUCUCUACUGGGGUAAAACCUAAAGAAAACACUACCUAUAACAUAGUGAAAUACUAAUUAAAACACCUAAUGAAAGGAAAAUAAAAAGAGAAGAACGAAAAUCAGAUCAACAAUCAUCGAGACUAUAGAGAUGUAUGAACAAAGAAGAGCGAAAGCGUAGAGAAAACAGCAUCUGCGGAAUAUACACGUCCGUAUACCGCCCAGACCCGUGCGCGGCCCGCCCGGAUACGGCCCAGGGCCCCGUACUGUCUAUUCUCACGUGGCUGCCAGUGUACCAAGUGGUGGUACUGUGUCGUGGGUGCCCAUUCGGGAGAGCUUAGUGAGCUCGUAGUUGUUUCGCCGUGAGGUGGUGAAUCCGAUAGGUUCACAGUGCGGGGCCCUGGCCGCCUCCGGGAGGGCUACCGCACGUGUCUGGGCGGUAUACAGAUGUGUAUAUUCCGCAGAUGUUGUUUCGCCUUCAUUUUUGUUCUUUAUCUUGCUUAUCUUAUUAUUGUUGAUUGCUAUAGUCUCGCUCAUUUCAAGAUAGUAGAUUUGGUCUCAUUUUCUUUAUAUUGAUUUGUUUCAUUCAUUUCGUAGUCCACUAUGUUAUGAUUGCGGAGUUUUCUUUAUGGUUCUAGGUUUUCUUUCCACCAGAGAUAUGUAUAUGCCCAUGUUGAGAGUUGGAGAGUGUUUUAUUUUUGUAGCUCUCCAUCUGGUGGAUCGCUGAGCAGUGAGCGACUUCUCGAUCGAGCUUCGGUGCGGGAAGGGAGCCAGGGAUCGGAGAGGGCCACACCUUCCGAGACUUUCUUUUGUAUUUUGUCUCCCGCACUAUUGAUAUUAAAUAUCAAGGGUCACCCAUUAAUGACUGGAGUCGAGUUACGUGGUGAUCCGGGGUUUUCUUUUCCCAUUCAUUGCUGUUAUUAUUAUUCGUUAUUCCUCGCUGAUGUUAUUGAUGACUUUCUUUCGUAUAUACUUUACGAUAUAAUGAUACAGAGUUCAUUCGUACUACAUUCAUACUACAUGUAGAUGAGAUAGUAUUUAUUCAUGCAGGCUACCGUUGUUCAUUUGCGAUGACAGGUUCUACAGUACGUAUUUCUUACUCGAGAUAGUACGUUGAGUCAUAUGUUCUAUGUCUCGAGUGAAGUUCCAACAUACACUAUGUUUAGUGCCUCUUUAUGACACUUAAACAUUUACAUAACCUGUAAGGUACCGGACUUCUAAAACUAUUAAGUUACGGUUUACAUUCGAUUGGAGAGCCAUUUGAAUGGUCCCGGUGAAGUUUGAUGAGGUUCGGGAGCUAUCGGGUGUUUCGGUGCGCGUAGGCGCUAAAACGGACCCGAAAGGCUAACUUGGGCCGUGAGCUAAAUCCGGAAUUAGCGAGGUUGGAAAGAUGAUGAAAACAUGUUUGAAAACAUGUUUGGAGAGUCUCGGUUCGAUUUGAGACGAAUCGGAGGUCAAACGAACGAAAACGGGCGAAAACGGAGCGAAAACGGACGAAGCUGAAAAUUGGCUAAGUCUGGGCUGGAGGUCUCUCUGGGACCGGUCCCAGGUAGAGAGACCGGUCUCUCAGAGACCGGUCCCUCAUGUAGAGACCGGUCCCCGAACCCCGAAAAUGCCCAGUUCGGGCUGUUGCAAAAAGAGGCUUGUUGGGGGGUUUUUAUGCAAUUGUUGCAUGGGUUAAGUGUAUAGAGAGGGUUGGAACCUCUCUCUCUCUCUUUCCCUCACCCGUUUAGCCCCAAACGUGCCCCUCUCUAUCUCUAAACGAAAUAGAAGAAAAGAAGAAGAAGAGGAAGGAGAAGAAGAGAAGAAGAAGAAGAAGGAGAAGAAGAUCAAGAAGGGGAUCUUCAACCUCUCCUUCGUCUUCCUCGCGCUUGGAGCAACCUAGAGAGGUAAGCUUUGUUACCCUCUCAUGGUAGAUCUCUAGAAAUAGGUCUAAUUGCUCUAGAAGUGAGAUUAGUAGGCUCCUUUGAUGCUAGUUAGAUGUUUAUUGCAUGAAUCGGAGAUCGAUUUGGGGUAUUUUGCCGUAGUCGCAAACUAGGGCUCAAAAAUGGGAUUUUUGUAAAUAGAUGGGUUUAAUCUCAUUUAACCCUCUGUAAACCUAAUUAGGGGUACAACGAACGCGUUGGUGUGCUCGGUUCGACAAUCCGACGAGCGUACGCGAAGUUAUUAACGAAACAGUCUGUUUUGGUACAGAUAGCCGCAGCACGCGAGAUAAGCCUCCAAAAAUCAUGAAAGCGGAUCGGGAGUAUCGUGGUGUCGUGGAAUAAACUCCAGAAUAGACGGAUCGCGGAUUGGUGGCCGUUCGGGUGGUCGCGCAAGAGUUCGAGCCGAACCGGGUCACGGGUGCCGCGGGAGGCCGAUUGCAAGUGUCGACGAGCAAUCGGAACGCGUGUUAAGGUGGGUUGUGUUUACCGAAGCGACUAGGUCGCCCUUUAUGUCUAAGAUGAUUAAGAAUCCACGUUGAUGCAUAUGCAUGUAAAUAAGGUAUAUAUAUAUAUGAUGCAUAUAAAUGUAAGUGAUGCAUGUUAAUAAUAUGAUGCAAAUGCUAAGUAGAUCCAUGUAAAUGAUAUGUAUAAGUGCAUUGGAAAUGUAUGCUAGAUGCAUGUGUAUAUGGACUUGAUAGGACAAGUAGGAUAUCAAGUAGAUCGAGUGGCAUUAACCUAGUGUUAAUAAAUAUAGGUCGAACAUAGAUGACAUUGAACCUAGCGUUGGUGAACCUAGGAUAAAUAACGAGUGGCAUCUAACCUAGUGUUAAAGAACAUAGGUUGAGUAUGAACCUAGAGUCGGGAUCUAGGUGUGUGGCAUCUAACCUAGUGUUAAAGAACAUAGGUUGAGAACUGAACUUAGAGUUAAGGUAAACCUAGGUUGUGACAUCGAGGCAUUAGACCUAGAGUCUGUUGGACCUCGGGUGGAAAGUGCAUUGGACCUAGAUAGGUCAAUAGUAUAGGGUUGGAUAUGGACCCUUGACUUGUGAAGUCGAUUCCGGAAUCCCAGUACUUGUGAACUCAAUAGUUCUUGGACCGCGGGUGUAUGCGGCGAUGUUCCUCUCCCACCGGAAAGAACUUUGAGGAUUAUGACUAAGCAAGAACAAAGAGCGCUAGGGUGGACGCGGCAUAUUCCUCUCAUCGGACCUGGAAGCGCGGGAUGCUGAUUCAUACGUUUCCCUUACUGUUUCUCUUUCUCCGUCUUCAAGAGAGUUUUUCGAUUCAUGAUGUGAUGGAUCUUUUAAUCUAAUGUUGGGUGUGUAUGUGUGUGAGAGAACACACAAAACUGGAAUUGGUUUGGGGUGAUGAAUAUACGAGGAUCUAUGUUACUUGGAUUUGUGUGUGAUUGAGAGUAAUACUCUGUGUAAUUGAGUGGGAGUAUUACUCGGGAGUAUUAACGGUUUUCGAGUUCUCAGUAGGUAUUGAGGGUACUCAAAGUAUUGGGAACUCAAAGGAUGUCGCCCAACCCAAACCCAGAAUAACUGUUGGGCUAAGUUGGGCUUGAGCGAUUCGUCUAAACCCGGUGACAGUUCCUCUUCAGUCGCCCUUUAUAAAGCAGGUACUGUAAGAGGGGGUGGAUUGCGCGUCUGCGGGAGCAGCGCACGGCUCAACGAGGGCCAGUCGUAUCGGAAGGCGCGCCAAGCAGCACGGAACCGCGCGCUAGCCGGGGCACGGAACGAGGGUUACAGGCGUAGACAGGAGCGUGGUAGUGGAUCACAGAAUGGAGAGACUCGUUCAAGUUGUCGCUCGAACGACACGCUUCUUAAGCGGUCUACACGUACAGAAGGUGCUGUACAUGCGUGUGAGACGUUUCGGCGUCUUGCGGAGCUCACACGUACAGGAGGCGCUGUGCGUGCGCAUGAGACGGUUCGACGUCUUGAGGAAAACCAGGAGCGUCCGAGGAACCGUCUUACUGAACGUGAAACGAACCUGCGAUAAGCAAAGUUGCGGCGUACUCUGAACUGUCAGAGUGAUGACGAGUCCGGGAGGAAGCGCUCCAGGAGUCAGAAGGGCGCGAAGUGGAGGACCGUUUCGACGUCCCGACAGUCUCAACCUGAGAGCAACACGGGAAAAGGCAGGGGACCUAGUGCCACGAGAGGGGGUGGAAACCGGAGCGAGCGGAAACCAUCAAGUAGAGCUAGCGGGAGCCAAGCGAAUCCAUCACGGAGGGAGCAGAAUUCCAGGAGCUGGAGGAACUGGGCCCGUGGCUACAGGACUUCGUCGUGUAGAGCGUGUAGGGCGAGCAGUAACGCUGCCCGUUCCAAGUGGAACUUGAUGAGGUCUGCUACCGUCUUACAACGGUAUCGACGUUGUUAUAGGUAGAGGUAGUUUAUUUUGGAGAGGAGGUUGUAGGGGUGUACAACCCUAUCCAGUCUCAUCGCGAGGAGGCGCGAGCGUCGUCUCAGGAGGUCGUACGGAUGCGCCAGUAGUUCGUUCUGCCUGAGAGAGCGGUCUCAGGCGCCGAGGAACGAGAACGGAGCGAACCAGUGGGACCCGAGUCCGUGUUGCAGUUGCUGCCGUCGAAGGCUGCUUCUGUACCAAGGAAAAGCUUGGCCGAGACUAUGGUUGACAGUGCCGGAAUCGCAAAGACAAGCGUUUCGGGCACGCCGCGGGCGGAAGGACGAGCUUCUACCCGUUCGGAAGCAGGGAUAACGAUCGGACCUGGAAGCGCGGGAUGCUGAUUCAUACGUUUCCCUUACUGUUUCUCUUUCUCCGUCUUCAAGAGAGUUUUUCGAUUCAUGAUGUGAUGAAUCUUUUACUCUAAUGUUAGGUGUGUAUGUGUGUGAGAGACAACACACAAAACUGGAAUUGGUUUGGGGUGAUGAAUAUACGAGGAUCUAUGUUACUUGGAUUUGUGUGUGAUUGAGAGAGUAAUACUCUGUGUAAUUGAGUGGGAGUAUUACUCGGGAGUAUUAACGGUUUUCGAGUUCUCAGUAGGUAUUGAGGGUACUCAAAGUAUUGGGAACUCAAAGGGUGUCGCCCAACCCAAACCCAGAAUAAUUGUUGGGUUAAGUUGGGCUUGAGCGAUUCGUCUAAACCCGAUGACAGUUCCUCUUCAGUCGUCCUUUGUAAAACAGGUACUGUGAGACGACCCCUAGAUUAACACUUCCGUUAAGUUACGUACAAUUCUUCUAUACGAUUAAUUUGACGUACGACCUCUCUCAACUGGUUCGGACAACCGGCAUGCCAUUACUCCCCGGCACCGCAAUUAAUUCGGCUCGGUGAAGCCUCAAAGAACAUGCCUACGUCUAAAACUGCAAAAACUAGAUUAAUUCGAAACUGGAAAACUCUCUAGAAGAAACAUGAGGCAGAAAAGUUGUAAUUAUUUCAUAAACGAGACAGAAGCAGGUACCUGCGAACAUCCGGCAACCGGCUUGGUGCAUUUUAUAGCCACACGAGAAAAGAGAAAAAAAAAAAGAAAAAGAACGUAAUUCAUUAAAAGACUUUGAUUAAAAACGGCAAGGCUAAAAUUGUUUAACCAUAGUUUCGGAAAGAUAAGGGAAACUCUUAAUUCUACUGCUGCUUCAAGCUCUAAGUCUUUAAACUGUCCUGGUUGUCAAGCGUAAUAACAUUCAGUUCUACGCACACGAUAUAACUGCGUUGUUCCUAACAUCUUCCAUGACAACCCUUUUCAUUUCUACAGGCUAAGAAACUGCGGCCUCAUCUUCCUCUUCUAACUGCUGUUUGGAGAAUGCCGUUAUGUUAAUGCAAAUAAGCUAAUCUAUAACACGCUCCAGAACCUACUUUUCUGGCGACGUCCUAAAACCGAAUUUAAUCUUAUAGAGAUGUACUGCUUUAGAGAGUGGUUGUUCAAUAUAAACUUCAUUGCAGAGAAGUACAACGCAUAUCACCUUCUAUAGAAAUAAUUCAGCGUAAAUCUACUUAAAUUAAGAUAAUAAUACCUAGAGGCGAGCUAUCUACAAUUUUAGCUCUUCCUUCUACUUCGGGAAAAUAAUAAUACAAAAGAUGACGGGAAAAUAUUCUUAAAAGCACUCUGGAAGAACAAACCUGCUCUAUGAGAUACAGAGCUACUACAAUUUAGGAGAAAUGAAAGUUUUCUCUUUUAACUGUACGUCUAUUCGUUGCUCUGUCUACCUCGAAGUCCUGUUCUAAACCAGCGAUCUCCCUCCAGAGCGCUCUUCCCAAGGCUAUUAUCUCCAUAUAAAUCUAGUUUCAGUUUUGUAUCCAUAGAUUAAACACCAAUAACAUUCUUAUUCCCAGUGUAUUUUCGACUCACAAAGUUCAACUUUUUAUUUUUCGUCGCCUUCUUAUUGCCACUAUUUUAAGUCCCAGUCUUUUUGUGGUUAUGAUUUCGACUUCGUUCACAACGUCGUCCUCUUAGUCUAUUUUUACUAUAGCAAAAAUGUCAAUGUCUAUUCUGUGCGUUUGUCCUACUCACCGAAUACCUGAGGCGUACAAGGAAGGUAUAGACGUACGUAUUUCUUACAAGAGCUGAGUGAGAUUCACGUGUCAAUAACUUUAACCGUGAUAAGCCCAUGUCUAUAAGCUACCUCAACACUCCUGAUAUAGACUCCAAGCCGUACAAGGCCUAUGCUCUUUUUUAGACUAGAGCAACCCAUGUGAACUAUAAUUUUCAUAAGAAGUCGACUACCUAAUUACUUCCGACGAUUUCCCUUAGAAUAUCACUACUUACGGUUCAACAGGCUGUACAAUAUACAAGAUGUUCCAAGGUGACACUGUCCAAGUCGUCGCCAUUGAAGAAGGAGAUUCAGUCUAAGACUAUCGUGGUCUAAUACCGUAUACGCUGAUCCGAUAUACUCGCUUAUACCAUACUACUUCAACCCGUUCUCUCUAGAUGAACCAUUAGUCUCAAAUCUUUUCAACCUGAAGACGCUCGUAACAGAAGAAUCGUUUGUUUUCUCUCAGUCGAAAUUCCGGCGUCAAGUAAUCUGUUUUCCUUGAGACCUGACGUAGAUAAGACUAGAAGACCCUGGAAGAGCAUGAGGCUGAGUACCACCACGAUCUAUAUACAACUGAAAAUAACUGCUAAUAAGAGCAUUUCAUACCCGCAAGAAAGACUUUUCAUUCCUACUCAACAAGUUAAUAAAGUUCGUCACCUUCCAACAGUGCGGGGCUCUGGCGAGGGUUAAACCAGGCCAAGCCCGUGCGGCUGUCUGGCGGCUUGCAUGGCCCCAAAGGGGACAUGCGCCUGUCUCAGAGGGGACAUGCAAGAUCCGCAGCGUUAGGUUUGUUACAUGUAAUGUUACCAAGGUUGGUCCUUGUCUAUAGUUAGUACUAACGCAUUCCUUCAUAGUUUGUUGUAUUUGUGUAGGAUUCUAUAAUGUUGUAAGUGUAAUCUAAGUAAAAAUGUAAUGUAAGUUGGAGGUUUACGUUAAUUCAAUAAUGUAGUAUCUAUAAUGUUCCAUUUAUGUAAACGAACGAAAGUAAAAGAUAUGGGGAUUCGAUGCAGCUGCCCCCUGACGAUCGAGACCAGAGAGCCCUGUCCCGCGAUAGAUACCUCGAUGCGGGAACGGAGCGCGGCGGCGCGGCGAGUGCACGCUUGGACAUUUUGGGGUUUUGUUGCACCCCACUCUUGGUUGAGGUACCAAGGGUCACCCAUGCCGGUGGGUUCCCUCCUCGAGCUGGUUGUCCAGAUUCCCUCCGUUUAUGUUCAAUCAGGUUAUUUAUCUAUCUAUACAUAUAGUAUUUGUACGUUGAUUGAAAUGGAACGAAACGGAGUGUUGACGUUGCUACGGUACGAUAUACGUUGUCCUUAUAUACGUUGUAUUUAUAUACGUUGUUGAUCAUCUUAAUAACUAAGAUGUUAGUUAGAGCGAUUAGAAUCGAGUACAGUAGGUUGAGAUUCCAAGGAUGAUGGAAUCCAAUAGUGUAAAUGGUGAUCGGGAGUUCCAAGAUAGAUGGAAUAAGGUCGAUCGGGGGGCUAAGCCGGAGCUCAGUUAGUUGUCGCCUAUUAGGUGCGAGACGGGCCGAGCUCCACUUCCUAGGACAGCGUACGUGGAGUCGGACGUUCGGUUCUUGGUGUAGCGGGUUGCCAGGUGGGCUUCCAGGCACGUGGCACCAGUCCCUAGGCGAUCACCCUCUCCUUUGUAUCGGCGCAUGUGGGUAUCGGCUCUAGGGGCUAUCCNCUCAUGGUAAAUCCCUAGAUGUAGGGUUUUGAUCUCUAGAAAUGGUUUAAUUGGUAUCCUAGCAUGCUAAUUAGGUGGUAAAUGCUAGAAUCUAGAUAUUUAAAGGUAGGUUUUUACCUAAUUGGAAUCUAGGGCUCCGAAAUGGCGUUUUGAUAUAUAUGAGGGUUUGAUCUCUUUUAACCCUCUGUAAACCUAAUUGGGGGUAUAACGAACGCGUUGGUGCGCUCGGUUCGAUAAUCCGACGAGCGUACGCGAAGUUAUUAACGAAACAGUCUGUUUUGGUACAGAUUGCCGCAGCUCGCGGCGGAGGCUUCCUAAAAUCAUGGAAAUGGAAUCGUAGCAUCGUGGUGUCGUGGAAUAAACUCCAGAAUAGACGGAUCGCGGAUUGGUGGCCGUUCGGGUGGUCGCGCAAGAGUUCGAGCCGAACCGGGUCACGGGUGCCGCGGAAGGCCGAUUGCAAGUGUCGACGAGCAAUCGGAACGUUAAGGUGGGUUGUGUUUACCGAAGCGACUAGGUCGCCCUUUAUGUCUAAGAUGAUUAAGAAUCCACGUUGAUGCAUAUGCAUGUAAAUAAGGUAUAUAUAUAUAUGAUGCAUAUAAAUGUAAGUGAUGCAUGUUAAUAAUAUGAUGCAAAUGCUAAGUAGAUCCAUGUAAAUGAUAUGUAUAAGUGCAUUGGAAAUGUAUGCUAGAUGCAUGUGUAUAUGGACUUGAUAGGACAAGUAGGAUAUCAAGUAGAUCGAGUGGCAUUAACCUAGUGUUAAUAAACAUAGGUCGAACCUAGAUGACAUUGAACCUAGUGUUGUUGAACCUAGGAUAAAUAACGAGUGGCAUCUAACCUAGUG